GCCCGUGUUAAGUGCGUCGCUGAGGGCGCCUUUGUGCUUUUUAACCAGCCGAGUGAAUAAGGGGAGGGCAAGUCUGGUGUCAGCCGCCGCGGUAAUACCAGCUCCUCGAAUGGUUGGGACGAUUAUUGGGUCUAAAGCGUCCGUAGCCGGCCGGAAAAGUUCUCCGUUAAAUCCAACGAUUCAAUCGUUGGGCUGCGGGGAAUACUCUUCGGCUUGGGGGCGAGGGAGGUCGGCGGUAGUCUCGGGGUAGGGGCGAAAUCCUAUAAUCCCGAGAGGACCACCAGUUGGCGAAGGCGGCCGACUAAAGCGCGCCCGACGGUGAGGGACGAAAGCUGGGGGAGCGAACGGGAUUAGAUACCCCGGUAGUCCCAGCUGUAAACGAUGCAGGCUAGGUGUUGGGACGGCCACGAGCUGUCCCAGUGCCGCAGGGAAGCCAUUAAGCCUGCCACCUGGGGAGUACGGUCGCAAGGCUGAAUUCUCUUUGAGCAUUCGCUCGAGAGACAGUUGACUUAAAGGAAUUGGCGGGGGAGCACCACAAGGGGUGAAGCUUGCGGUUUAAUUGGAGUCAACACCGGGAAACUUACCAGGAGCGACAGUUGGAUGAAGGUCAGAUCAAAGGUCUUACCGGACUAGCUGAGAGGAGGUGCAUGGCCGUCGCCAGUUCGUGCCGUGAGGUGUUCUCUUAAGUGAGACAACGAACGAGACCCGCACCCUUAGUUGCCAUCGGAUUCCCCUCGGGAUUCAGGCACACUAAGGGGACUGCCCACGCUAAAGUGGGAGGAAGGAACGGGGCCACGGCAGGUCAGUAUGCCCCAGAUCUCCUGGGCCACACGCGAGCUGCAAUGGAUGGGACAAUGGGAUCCGACCUCGAAAGGGGAAGGCAAUCCUCAAACCCAUCCUCAGUUGGGAUCGAGGUAAUAACCCGCCCUCGUGAACAUGAAUC
rnacentral:rRNA from 1 species